UACGGAGGGUGCAAGCGUUAUCCGGAUUCACUGGGUUUAAAGGGUGCGUAGGUGGGCAGGUAAGUCGGAUGUGAAAGCUCGGAGCUCAACUCCGAAAUGGCAUUGGAAACUACCUUGCUCGAGGGUUGGAGGGGGGACUGGAAUACUUGGUGUAGCAGUGAAAUGCGUAGAUAUCAAGUGGAACACCAGUGGCGAAGGCGGCUCACUGGCCCGGUACUGACGCUGAGGUGCGAAAGCGUGGGGAGCAAACAGG
rnacentral:rRNA from 1 species